rnacentral:rRNA from 1 species
UACAGAGGGUGCGAGCGUUGUCCGGAAUCACUGGGCGUAAAGGGCGCGUAGGCGGCCUGGUAAGCGUGCGGUGAAAGCCCGGGGCUCAACCCCGGGUCGGCCGUGCGAACUGCGAGGCUGGAGCACUGUAGAGGCAGGUGGAAUUCCGGGUGUAGCGGUGGAAUGCGUAGAGAUCCGGAAGAACACCGGUGGCGAAGGCGGCCUGCUGGGCAGUAGCUGACACUGAGGGCGCGACAGCGUGGGGGAGCAAACAGG